UACGGGGGGGGCAAGCGUUGUUCGGAAUUACUGGGCGUAAAGGGCUCGUAGGUGGCCAACUAAGUCAGACGUGAAAUCCCUCGGCUUAACCGGGGAACUGCGUCUGAUACUGGAUGGCUUGAGUUUGGGAGAGGGAUGCGGAAUUCCAGGUGUAGCGGUGAAAUGCGUAGAUAUCUGGAGGAACACCGGUGGCGAAGGCGGCAUCCUGGACCAAGACUGACACUGAAAAGCGAAAGCCAGGGGAGCAAACAGG
rnacentral:rRNA from 1 species